GACGAACGCUGGCGGCGUGCUUAACACAUGCAAGUCGAACGGAAAGGCCCUGCUUUUGUGGGGUGCUCGAGUGGCGAACGGGUGAGUAACACGUGAGUAACCUGCCCUUGACUUUGGGAUAACUUCAGGAAACUGGGGCUAAUACCGGAUAGGAGCUCCUGCUGCAUGGUGGGGGUUGGAAAGUUUCGGCGGUUGGGGAUGGACUCGCGGCUUAUCAGCUUGUUGGUGGGGUAGUGGCUUACCAAGGCUUUGACGGGUAGCCGGCCUGAGAGGGUGACCGGCGAGAUUGGGACUGGGAUACGGCGCGAACUACUACGGGAGGCAGCAGUGGGAAAUAUUGCAGAAUGGGCGGAAGCCUGAUGCAGCAACGCCGAGUGCGGGAUGACGGCAUUCGGGUUGUAAACCGAUUUCGCCUGUGACGAAGCGUGAGUGACGGUAAUGGGUAAAGAAGCACCGGCUAACUACGUG
rnacentral:rRNA from 1 species